AGUCACACUCGCUUCUCGCAGUUGGAAUCAUCUUUGUAUUUUUUUUCCUGCGGUCUGGGUUCGGUUACAUGGAAGUAAUGAAGGCUGCUGGCAAAGAGGUGCAGACAAGAAUAUUGGUGACAAGGCUGCUGGCUUCGACGGACGUUGUACCUCGGGUUAAACCUUCACGCCGCCACCGAGGCAGCGAAGGAAGAGCUUGGUCGCCAUAUUGGUGGCGGGAGAAUGAACGAAGGUCUCGUGCACCAGGCGGCUGACUUGAGUGCUGAGGCUUUCAUAAUCACGCCACUUGCACCAAGAUCACAGAGGCACACUCUCCGGACGUGAGCCCUGACUCUUGCCUCGGCGAGCGUUGCCCACUGGUGCUUGAACUGCGGCUGACAGCUGAAGUCAUCGGUGACAGCAGUAGAACAGUCUUGCUCGUGACUUGCUGAGGAUAAAGUCUGAUGAUGGACAAGAACCUGCACAUUUGUAAGCCUUAAAGCAAACGCAAGGAUGUAAAUGAUCUUUCUUCACUAGUGAGGACUGGAAUAAAGUUAUACCUUGAA